UACGUAGGGUGCGAGCGUUGUCCGGAAUUAUUGGCGUAAAGAGCUCGUAGGCGGUGUGUCACGUCGGCCGUGAAAACCUGGGCUUAACUCUGGGCGUGCGGUCGAUACGGGCAUCACUAGAGUUCGGCAGGGGAGACUGGAAUUCCUGGUGUAGCGGUGAAAUGCGCAGAUAUCAGGAGGAACACCGGUGGCGAAGGCGGGUCUCUGGGACGGUACUGACGCUGAGACGCGAAGCGUGGGGAGCGAACAGG
rnacentral:rRNA from 1 species